UCCUGACAUGCCUGAGGCUACUCUGUACAUGUACCUGUACAAGACAACUAUACAACCCCUCAUGGAGUACUGUUGCCCUAUUUGGGCUGGAGCUUCUGCCUGCCUUUUAUCUUUACUAGAUCGAGUGCAGAAGCGCUUUGUUAACCUGGAUGGAGAAGAGUUAGGAUCUACACUACAACCUCUUUCUCAACAAAGUGUUCCAGGCGUAUAGGGAUCGAAAGCUACACAAUUUUGAUUGCAUAUAGAUAGCAAGGGAUAACACCAUGUGCGCUUCGUGCAGCAAACCCAGAGAAAAUACUGGGUGCAAUUUACUCACAACUGUGAUUCACAUCAAGAAGUGUCGUGGCUUUCUGAACCCUUGAAAGAGUGUUCUGCACCAUUUGGUCCAGGAGAGCAGACAUGAUCAAUCACAAGCCAGUCCCAGAGCCCGGAUAGCUGGAUCGUCCCAACAGAUGAUGAGUCCUGUGAUGGUCCACUAAGCCACUCAGCUCCCAGGGAUUGUUUCACGUGUGCUCAGCGGACGUUCACUGGGUCAAAGGACCAUCGAGUCAGGUGGCUUCAAGGACAUAACGUUCAGUGUCAAGACCUUCUUGGGAAGCAUCAAAUGUGUGGACCUCCCACCAUCAGAUCAGAGACUAGAGAGCCAACCAUUGUCCUAAAGAGUGUGAUGGAGGUGACUUCAUAAGGACUGCAAGUUGCAAUGCCGUGACGUUUAUUUGGAAGUGUCAACUGGGGUGGACCUCCCUCCAUCAGACCAGUGACUUGGGAGAUCUGUUACUACCAACCAUUUCAGUCCACAAGCUGCCAUAAAAUGCAGCACAAUAUGCCUGAGGAGAAGGAAUAUUCCAUUCUAGUGCAAGGGAGGCCAUUGACUGUCUUUACUGCCACACAAUGCAAAGCAGCACUACAGCAGACUCGUCAGUCAAUCGACAGGAGAAUGGGAGAUUUUUGCAUUGAUCUACCCAAAUGUCAACUGUUCAUAUACAGCAAAGAAAUGACCCAACCUUUUGCGGAUAUGGUCAGUUUGUUCCGUAUGCUUCGGCUGGUGAUUGCUGCAGUUCAGCUGCCUGUCCACAGACUGGGACACGUCAAAGUAAGCUGUCACUAAGACACUAACCAGAGAUGAUUUGGACCAGAAAAUAGUCGGCAGAUGUGAUGGAUUCUGUGGUAUGUGUUUUCCUGAGGGAAGGAGAGACAUUUUAGGACUGGCAUACCUAUCAUGAUCCAGUGAAUUUCAGUUACUCUGAAGCCAAGAAUCUACGUUUGUGUGCCUGUUGAGAAGAAGUGGCUACCUUUGUAUUGGUACCACACCGUCCCAACGAUCCUUGUAGCUACUUGUGUAAUAUGGCCACCUCUACGACUAAAAACACCCCCUAUACUGUGCCUUCCUUUAGUUUGGUGAAGGAUGUGAUGUGAAUAGUGGCUUUGUAAUGGCUACCAGUGAUCCUUGCUACAUCAGCCUUCACUUUGACAUCCCUUAGCACAGUGGCCACUUAAAACCUUAUCAAAUGUAUGGUUGCACACUUUCAAUUUGACCACUCGGAAUCCAGUAUCUCACUCCACCCAUCUGCAGAGCUGCUCACUCUCCCGGAGUCUGCCAAGUCAAGCUCUGAUGGCCAAAUGUGUUUUUUCGAAGUUUGUUUUUUGCAUCAGAUUAUAUAUCAGAACUACAAAAUUGUAUUUAUUAUUUUCCUUAAGAGCUGACACCCGGGCCCAAUUUCAUAGAGCUGCUCAAGCAGAAAAUACUGAUAAACAACUGUCUGCUAAGCAGAAAUGAGCAGGAUACCAGGCACAAAUUUGACAUGGCAUGUUAGCCUUUAACCUUAUUUUGGUAAGCAUCGUUGUGUUUGCCUAGCUACUUGUGCUGAAGCAGCUCUACAAAUUGGCCCCGGUUUUGAGAAUAUCAAAGUGUAAAAGCAUGAUUCGUUGAAACGAGGACACUUCUGUUUGCAAGUGAAGAAUAUGUUUCUAAAAUCUGAAUCAAGAACUAUUUAUGCAUGUGAAAACAAAGGUGGAAUUAUCAAAAUUUCCAUAAUUCGACAGAAAUUAGUUCAGUCAAAAGUCCCCAGUUGUGUAUCAAUGUGUAUCUCAUGCAAAGGGUUUUAUAAUAAUAAUAAUAAUAAUUACAAAGUUUUAUCAAGCGCAAACAUAUCCACAAAAGUGCUCAUGGCGCUUUUACAAAGAAAACUCAACUAGAACUUUAAAAAAAAAAGCAAAAAAAGAAAAGCAGAGUAAAUCCAAAAGAACGGAUCUAUGGACACAGGUGUGUUUUGAGGGAGGUUUUGAAAGAGUGAAUAGAAGUGGAUGUUUUGAUGUGAAGAGG